GAUGAAGAACGCAGCGAAAUGCGAUACGUAAUGUGAAUUGCAGAUUUCAGUGAAUCAUCGAAUCUUUGAACGCACAUUGCGCCCGCCAGUAUUCUGGCGGGCAUGCCUGUUCGAGCGUCAUUUCAACCAUCAAGCGCCUCGCUUGUGUUGGGGCCCUGCGGCUGCCGCAGGCCCCUAAAUCCAGUGGCGGGCUCGUCGUCGUACCGAGUGCAGUAAACAUCCUCGCUCAGGGAACCCGACGGGUGCCGGCCGUGAAACCCCCCCUCCUCAAGGUUGACCUCGGAUCAGGUAGGAAUACCCGCUGAACUUAAGCAUAUCAAUAAGCAGAGGA
rnacentral:misc_RNA from 1 species